ACCUGGCUGGCUCAGAUGGUAGAGCACGGGACUCUUGAUCUUGGGGUUGUCAGUUCAACCCCACGUUGGGUG
rnacentral:tRNA from 1 species